CUUCUGUUUACACAGGAGAAGAUUCUGACUGGAAUUCAAAACACAAUACGGCUUUGUGCAGUAAAUCGAUCACACUGGUAUCUUGUGAAACCACCCAAAAUCAAAAUACUGCCGCUCUAAAAAAAAAAAAAAAAAAAAACACGGUAAAAAGUCUUUCACGUGCUAUUUUACAAAGAAAAUCACCAAAGAAUUUUGAAAAGGACACCAAUAUUUAAAAGACAGAGCCCUUAUGUAGCCUAUCAGGUAAAUUACAAUAUAAAAUCUAAUUUAAAAAAACGACCUAUAUAAUAAGAAUUCUGGAUCAGAAAAACAGGUCAGAAUUUUUUUUUUUUUUUUUACAUUUGUUUCUGCACUUUCCGGGAGGGUUUUAUGUUUCUGUUUUAUUUCUCUACUUUUCAAUGUGGACAUAUUUAAUGUUGCGUCAGUGGUUUCCUUGUUCCACCGAGGAAUGAAAUGACAACAAAGCUCGUCCAAGACAAAACGAAGUAAAAAUCUGACCCUCCGGCCCCAGACAUUUGUUUAUCAAGAACGAGAACCAUUCAUGUUUGACUUAACUGUUUGAGCAGAGAUGAAUUAAAUUGCUUGACAUUUCCAUCUAAGAUUAAAUUGCCAAGUUUACUUUGUGAAAGUGCAAAGAGUCGCCUUCAUAGUUCGAUUGUUGCGUUACCAUGGCUACAGUGUGAGGCUAAGGAUUUAAUCUUUGUGUUUCAGUUCUGUUCGUACCGAAAUACCUAUCAAUGAUAAUUAACCAAUUAUCAGUGAUUGUUUUGUUUUUUUAUCUUAGUCUAUUGAACUGGGACCCCUCUACCAGAUUCUACCACAUCUGUACUGAUUAGUGGCUCUGAUGUUCUUUACAGGAAGAGGGGCCCCUAAAUCACAUCCUGCCUGAGGCUCCAGCUCUACCCUCUAGAUGCAAAUAAUACCAAGCAGCUGAGCCAUCGUCGUCAUCGUCAUACAGAAACUAAACAGGAGGAGAAGGAUGUCUCUCUCAGUCAGCAGAGCCAAAGGUUUUCCUUCCUGUUGAGAGUGGAGGGCUCAGUUUUAUUGAAAUGGACUGAAAGAGACAAAGCGAGUGGAAGGAAGAUGGUGAAUGCUCCAUAGAUCAUCACUGGCUGGCAGCUGCUGAAUGAUUUCCAGAAAAAAAAAAUUAUAAAAAAAUCUUCUAAAAUUUAA